UAAAGAUGGAUACCCUCAAUGAUUUGGGUCAACUGUCGUGGCUUAUACAUGCAGUCGUGGGGCAGCAUGAAUGUAGCAAUACAUUUGAUGGCGACCGGCAAACGGGUGCGGAACACGUACACAACCUUCCUAUAAGUGGGGAAUAGCCCAGAGAAAUUUGGAUUAAUACCCCGUAACAUAACGAUGUGGCAUCACAUUGUUAUUAUAGCUUCGGCGCUUAUUGAUGGGUGUGCGGCUGAUUAGAUAGUUGGCGGGGUAACGGCCCACCAAGUCUACGAUCAGUAGCUGAUGUGAGAGCAUGAUCAGCCACACGGGCACUGAGACACGGGCCCGACUCCUACGGGAGGCAGCAGUAAGGAAUAUUGGUCAAUGGACGCAAGUCUGAACCAGCCAUGCCGCGUGAAGGAUUAAGGUCCUCUGGAUUGUAAACUUCUUUUAUCUGGGACGAAAAAAGGCGAUUCUUCGUCACUUGACGGUACCAGAUGAAUAAGCACCGGCUAACUCCGUGCCAGCAGCCGCGGUAAUACGGAGGGUGCAAGCGUUAUCCGGAUUCACUGGGUUUAAAGGGUGCGUAGGCGGGCAGGUAAGUCAGUGGUGAAAUCCUGGAGCUUAACUCCAGAACUGCCAUUGAUACUAUCUGUCUUGAAUAUUGUGGAGGUAAGCGGAAUAUGUCAUGUAGCGGUGAAUGCUUAGAUAUGACAUAGAACACCUAUUGCGAAGGCAGCUUACUACGCAUAUAUUGACGCUGAGGCACGAAAGCGUGGGGAUCAAACAGGAUUAGAUACCCUGGU
rnacentral:rRNA from 1 species